rnacentral:lncRNA from 12 species
CCCCCCCCCCCCCCCCCCCCCCCCCCCCCCCCCCCCCCCCCCCCCCCCCCCCCCCCCAUGGGGCUGAGAACUGAGGGAGGGGAGAGAAGGAGGGGAUGGGGCCGGGAAUUGAGUGAGGGGAGAGAAGGAGGGGAUGGGGCCGGGAGAGGGAAGGGAUGGGGCCGAGAAUGGAGUGAGGGGAGCGGGACUGAGGGGAUGGGGCCGGGAACGGCGUGAGGGGAGCGGGACUCGGGGUGUGCGAGGGGAGCUCGGAGAGGGGGAAGAGGGGAGGACGGGAGCUGAGGGUGCUGAUGGCAGAGGGCAGGGGAAGGUGGGCGCAGGGAGGGGCUGUGGGCUGUGUGUGUGUUGGGGGGGUUCAGGGGAAGGGGCUGCCGGGGCAGAGCGUGCGCAUGCACGGCUGGGAAGCCCAAGAAGGGGUGCAGAGAGAGGGGAGCUGUGCAGGAAUCGCAGGGCUCCAAAGCAGAGGAGCAGAACGGGACGUGCAAGCAAUUAAGCAAGAAAUCCUGAGCGUUUCUGGUGCUGAAAGGACUUAGUCAUAUCUGGGUGAGAAGGCCGAGCCGGUGCGGUGCAGCUGGUGAUGUUCGGGUUGGGGCAGGACUGCGCUCUGCCAACGGGAGGCUCCUUGAGGAGGAAACACGGGGGCUGCUUUGCUCUCAGGAGCAGCUCCUAGCAGCUAAAGCAGGUACAAUGUUCCUGUGAAAUGGCUGGGCCGGGUUUUUCUCCCUCCUCAUGCCCGGAUCAGCUGGUGGGUGUUUCCAGGGGGAGAUGCAGCAUCCAGGGAAGGCCUCGAGGCUUUGGUAGCAGCUUCCUGCUUGUCUUGGUUGGACAGGGGCCCGUCAGCCUGUUCAGCUCUGCAAAGGAUUUUGGCUGGUGCAGGUUCUUGGCCAAGAGGAAUUUCCCUUGCUCUGGCCUGACCAUUCUAAACUGCAAACAAAUCCUAGUGCAGCUCCAGGACAAACCACUUACAGAG